GACGAACGCUGGCGGCGUGCUUAACACAUGCAAGUCGAACGGAAAGGCCCUGCUUUUGUGGGGUGCUCGAGUGGCGAACGGGUGAGUAACACGUGAGUAACCUGCCCUUGACUUUGGGAUAACUUCAGGAAACAGGGGCUAAUACCGGAUAGGAGCUUCUGCUGCACGGUGGGGGUUGGAAAGAUUCGGCGGUUGGGGCUGGACUCGCGGCUUAUCCGCUUGUUGGUGGGGUAGUGGCUUACCAAGGCUUUGACGGGUAGCCGGCCUGAGAGGGUGACCGGCCACAUUGGGCCUGAGGUACGGCCCAGACUGCUACGGGAGGCAGCAGUGGGGAGUAUGGCGCAGUAGGCGGAAGCCUGAUGCAGCAACGCCGCGUGCGGGAUGACGGCCUUCGGGUGGUAAACCGCUGUGGCCGGUGACGAAGCGUGAGUGACGGUAAUGGGUAAAGAAGCACCGGCUAACUACGUG
rnacentral:rRNA from 1 species